ACGCCAGUAGCUCAAUUGGUAGAGUAGUGGUCUCCAAAACCAUUGGUUGUGGGUUCAAGUCCUACCUGGCGUGCCA
rnacentral:tRNA from 1 species